rnacentral:rRNA from 1 species
GGUGAGGUAACGGCUCACCAAGGCCACGAUGCAUAGCCGACCUGAGAGGGUGAUCGGCCACACUGGGACUGAGACACGGCCCAGACUCCUACGGGAGGCAGCAGUAGGGAAUCUUCGGCAAUGGACGAAAGUCUGACCGAGCAACGCCGCGUGAGUGAAGAAGGUUUUCGGAUCGUAAAACUCUGUUGUUAGAGAAGAACAAGGAUGAGAGUAGAACGUUCAUCCCUUGACGGUAUCUAACCAGAAAGCCACGGCUAACUACGUGCCAGCAGCCGCGGUAAUACGUAGGUGGCAAGCGUUGUCCGGAUUUAUUGGGCGUAAAGCGAGCGCAGGCGGUUUCUUAAGUCUGAUGUGAAAGCCCCCGGCUCAACCGGGGAGGGUCAUUGGAAACUGGGAGACUUGAGUGCAGAAGAGGAGAGUGGAAUUCCAUGUGUAGCGGUGAAAUGCGUAGAUAUAUGGGAGGAACACCAGUGGCGGAUGCGGCUCUCUGGUCUGUAAC